GACGAACGCUGGCGGCGUGCUUAACACAUGCAAGUCGAACGGAAAGGCCCUGCUUUUGUGGGGUGCUCGAGUGGCGAACGGGUGAGUAACACGUGAGUAACCUGCCCUUGACUUUGGGAUAACUUCAGGAAACUGGGGCUAAUACCGGAUAGGAGCUCCUGCUGCAUGGUGGGGGUUGGAAAGUUUCGGCGGUUGGGGAUGGACUCGCGGCUUAUCAGCUUGUUGGUGGGGUAGUGGCUUACCAAGGCUUUGACGGGUAGCCGGCCUGAGAGGGUGACCGGCCACAUUGGGACUGAGAUACGGCCCAGACUCCUACGGGAGGCAGCAGUGGAGAAUAUUGCACAAUGGGCGGAAGCCUGAUGCAGCAACGCCGCGUGCGGGAUGACGGCCUUCGGGUUGUAAACCGCUUUCGACUGUGACGAAGCGUGAGUGACGGUAAUGGGUAAAGAAGCACCGGCUAACUACGUG
rnacentral:rRNA from 1 species